GUAUACACCCCGUCGAGGUGAUCUACCCCCAAGAGGUGUUGUUGGAAGAGGGCCCAGGGCUGGUGUGCCCAAUGCACCAUAGCAAUUUCCGUUGCGUAGCAUCAACGAGUUACUGCAGGCACCUGCACGAAGAAAUCAUCCUACUCUUCAUCCAGACAAGAUAAAUGGUGCACUUUGUGAUUUUGAUGGUCCAUGGUGGAAACUUGGUGAGGUUCCACAAGAGCAGCAAGACAAAUGGUGGUCUUAUUUUGUGUAAAAAUAUUAUUGGGACCCAACUCAUCAUACCAUGGUGAAGACUCUCUGGACUAAGCAACUCCGUAGGAUGAUCUCAAACAACAUCAGCAAGGGGAAGACUCACAACAAAAAGCCCGACUUUGUCUCAGAUGAUAACUGGAACUUGAUGUGGUGUCACUAGAAUACGGAGAAUGCCGUUCAUGUUAGUGCUACAAACUCAAAGAAUCGGAAAUCCCAGCGGGGUGGAGAUGGUCCACAUCAACACAUUUAUGGUUCUAAAUCUUACGCCAAGAUCAAAUAU